rnacentral:lncRNA from 10 species
UGAUCCUGUUUUCAGUUAGAAAGGUUUCAAAACCAUCUUUAAAAAGUUAAAUCCAAGUCUUCAAGUUUUAUUCAUGCUCUUGAAAAAUAGCAGAUACCAUUACAUGUGCUUAUUUAUUUCACAUUUAAGAUCCAAGUGGAGAAAUCGGAUUAUAGUUUCCUUGUCUGCCGUAAACUAUGUGGAUGGUUUCGUUUCAGACGGUUAUAGGGUGAGAAGCAGCCCAUAGCUUGUUACCUGUUUAUCCGAAGGACAGAUCGGUGCUCAAGAAAGGUGGCGACACGGAGGCCCAGAGUGAGGAAGUCAUGUAUUCAAGGUGGCAGAGCUGGGAUUUGUAUAUCAUCUCUGUACCUGAGCCCCUAACCUGCAAGUCAUAAUAGGCAACGGAUCAAUGUUAUGAUGCAGUGGAGGCCCUUACCAGAAGCCAACCAGAUGCCAGCACCAUGCUCUUGGAUUUCCCAGUCUCCAGAAUGGUGCAGGUGGAGACGGAACCCUAGACACUGCUCAUCCCAAUCAGGCCCUUUCCAGGCCUGUCCCAUUCCAAUCGGGCAUCAGAUGUGGCAUUGAUCAUCAUCUACUUAACAAACGAGGCUCCCCUUUCAAUGCACUUGGGUCUCCUCUGGGCCAACCUUGGUUCUGAGAUAGCAGGUGCUGAAAUACUGCUGAAUCCUCAAAGCCAGACUAGCCAGUGCCUGGCACCUGAUGGGAAUAUGAUUUCAACGAACAGCUCACAGAAUCCUCCCCACAAAGCCGAGAAGCAGGAAGCAGCAACCCUCCCAGAUGAAGAAGCGAAGGCUCGGAAAAGCUAAGUAACUUCUCCAAGCUGACGCAGCUCGUGAGAGGAGGGACUGGGAUUCAAAUCCCUGCAGGGGGAGACCAGCAGCCCCGACUUCAGCCGCCAUGCCUCCUGCCUGAGAAGCUAGCUGCGAAGGUUCCAGAAGGAGACUGCCCUCCGGGAACAGAAACAGCGCAUGACUGCGACCUGUCUGCAAAAAUCUUGAUCACUUGUAAAUCCUUCUCCACCUGAUAAGUUAUCACAUUGGCUCAUGAUGUUUUUUUUCAUUCUCAGUGAGUUCAAAAUACUAUUUUGGUUUGUCUCAGUUUCUUCCUCUCUCUCUCUCUCUCUCUCUCUCUCUCUCGUAUAAAGGUAUCCACAUGUCACAUGUCAUUUGUUGAUAAUUAAAUUUUGAAUAGACAAUUCAUUGUCAAAACCAUCAAACAGUAUACUACAUGUCUGCAUUUGACUCUAUAUACAUUUUACCUAACAAGGAAAGCCCAUAAACAAAUACGAAAGUCUGGCUAAUGAUCCACAUACAGAAGUGUUUGGGAGGAUGGGCUCUGAGAUCUACAGCUUACUUUGAAAGGCAUCAAAGUGUAUUGACGGACGUCUGGAUGGAUGGAGGGAUAGACGUGUGUUAAACUAAACAGACCAACAUGGCAAUUACAGAAACUAGAUGAUAAGUACAUCGAUGCUCACUGUACAAUUCUUCAUGUUGCUAAUUUUCAUUAACAUGUUCAAAAAUUCUGAAUACAGACACUAGGUAGAAACUCCAAAGACACAAGUUAAAUGUAAGUAAGUCUUCCUCCACCUCAUCCUGUCUGUCAGUCUUUCGGGUUCCCUAACAAUGGCAAUGGCAAUCCCUAGUACCUGUGGCUCUGGGGUAUCAUUCCAGGGAUAUUCUAUGCCUGUUUUAACACAUAGAUGAUUUAUUUUCAGUGAUGAUAAUGAUAACUAAUAAUUAUGCCGCACUUGCUACAUGCCAAGCACUGUCCUGUUUAACAUACAUUGAUUUAUGAAAUCUCUUCAACAGCCCUAUGGCGUGGAUGCUGUUACUACCCCAUUUUACAAAGGAGUAAAGUGAGGCCCAGAGAGAACAGUUAAAUCACUUCCCCAGCUUCACUCAACUCAUCUACGGUGAGUCGACGGUACACAUGCCCUUCCACAACACAAAGGUCUCCACUUUGCCACGUGUCACUCUGAUGGUUCCAGGUGCAGAUUUUGCGUCUGCUUCUUGACUUCUAAUGGCUGCACCAUUUUGCAUUGGAUGGUUAUACCAUCAUUUAUUUGACUCAUCUCCUGUGCACAAGCAUCUAGUUUAUCUGCAAACUUUUGCUACCAAAAACAAUGCUGCAAUGAAUAAAUAAGCUGAUGCCUGCUUCUAAGCGUGCGUGCAUGCUGUAAUGUGAGAUGAAUUCCCAGAAGUGGAGUGGCUGAGUCCAAGAGUAAAUGCAUUUUUCAUUUUGAUAGUAUCGCCAAAUGUCUUUCCAAAGGGGUUGUGCUGGAUCCCACUCCAGCUAGCAAUGUGUGAGAGCACCAAUCCCACCGCCCACUGCAGCACACAUAUUGACGUCGGCUAGUCCAAUACCAGCACAGGCAGCUGGGC